UCUUGGUCAAUUAGAGGAAGUAAAAGUCGUAACAAGGUUUCCGUAGGUGAACCUGCGGAAGGAUCAUUACAGAAUAAACUAUGCUUGACUGUUGCUGGCUCUUAUGAGCAUUUGUGCACGUCUAGCAAGUCUUUAUCCACCUGUGAACUUUUUGUAGAUAUGAAAACAUCACUUCGAAAUAAAUUCGGUUUGGAGGAUUUGCAAUGGUGUGUGUACCCAUACAUAACUUGCUAUCCUUGGAUGCCUUUCGAUCUAUGUAUCUUUAUUAUACCCUUAAAAAAAAGUAAUAGAAUGUAUACUUAUUGGUCACAUUGACCAUUAAAACAAAAUACAACUUUCAACAACGGAUCUCUUGGCUCUCGCAUCGAUGAAGAACGCAGCGAAAUGCGAUAAGUAAUGUGAAUUGCAGAAUUCAGUGAAUCAUCGAAUCUUUGAACGCACCUUGCGCUCCUUGGUAUUCCGAGGAGUAUGCCUGUUUGAGUGUCAUUAAAUUAAAUCAAGCCUUUACUUUUGUAAAGGUUUGGACUAUGGGGGUUUUGCAGGUUUUGUGUUAAAAAUCUGCUCCUCUUAAAAGCAUUAGCGGAAACCAUUGUGGAAAAGUUUCCUGGUGUGAUAAUUAUCUACGCCACACUUUCUUCACUUGAAAGGUUUUGCUUCUAACUGUUGUGUCGGCAACAACUCUGAACAAUUUGACCUCAAAUCAGGUAGGACUACCCGCUGAACUUAAGCAUAUCAAUAAGCCGGAGGAA
rnacentral:rRNA from 1 species